rnacentral:rRNA from 1 species
GAUGAACGCUAGCGAUAGGCUUAACACAUGCAAGUCGAGGGGCAGCAUGGUCUUAGCUUGCUAAGACUGAUGGCGACCGGCGCACGGGUGCGUAACGCGUAUGCAACUUGCCUCACAGAGGGGGAUAACCCGUCGAAAGACGGACUAAUACCGCGUACACUCCAUCUUGGGCAUCCAAGGUAGAGGAAAUGAAAUUCGCUGUGAGAUAGGCAUGCGUCCCAUUAGCUAGUUGGUGAGGUAACGGCUCACCAAGGCGACGAUGGGUAGGGGAACUGAGAGGUUGAACCCCCACACUGGUACUGAGACACGGACCAGACGCCUACGGGAGGCAGCAGUGAGGAAUAUUGGGCAAUGGGCGAGAGCCUGAACCAGCCAAGUCGCGUGAAGGAUGACUGUCUUAUGGAUUGUAAACUUCUUUUAUACGGGAAUAACAAGAGUCACGUGUGACUCCCUGCAUGUACCGUAUGAAUAAGCAUCGGCUAACUCCGUG